GUUUAGGGGUAAACCUGAGAAACCCGAAAGGUCGAAGGAAGAAAUUCAUUCGUGUAUCACUAUUUACUAGACUGAAUUUAUUUGACAAUGACUAAGUUUAUGAAUCAUCGUAACCCGAUGAUUUUUGAUUUAGAAGUUGCUAUAGGUUUGUCUAUUGUAUGGUAGUGAAUGCGUGCAUUUUUCUUCUGGUAGGACGUUGCGAUCCGUUAGAAAAAAUAAAAUUAUCGAUCUAUGAUUAAUGGUUAAAGUUCAUUGAUACAUAUUUAUAUAUGUUGAUAUUAAUGAUACUGUAUAAUCUGGUUGAUUUAUCUGACGGUAGAUGAAUGGUUAAAAGUCGCUAUAUUUUAUUAGCGUUAGGUGCAAGACUUAUUUAUAAAUUGUGCUCUCGGUAAUCGGUAUUUAUAUCAAUUCCGAGCCUUUUAUGAAAUUUUUGUCGAGCAAAUCUCUAACUGACUUUAUUAUUUUAAAUAAAACCAAUCUGCAACGCUAUAGCUUUGGGUACUUUCAGGACCCGUCUUGAAACACGGACCAAGGAGUCUAGCAUGUACGCAAGCCAUUGGGAUAUAAAAAACCUAUAGGCAAAAUGAAAGUAAAAAUCAAUUUAUUAUGUAUAAAUUUGAAGGGAAGAUGAAUGAUGUCUCUAUGAGAUAUAAUUUCGCAUUCCCGGGGCGUUUAUAUUUCGUUUGUUUGUUUUACAUUCAAAUGAGAUUAUGCGCACCAAGAG
rnacentral:rRNA from 1 species